UCUGUUUGCCUGCCGCCUGCCCAGACUCUCGCCUGGAUCCCGACUAUCCCGUCUCUCCUCUGAUGGCAGUUAUUGACCACUGCCUGCCGGAUACUAAUUUAACUUUGUGGACUUUUAGCUGAGCUAAUAAGCCUGCUGAAUUUGGAUCCAGCCGUCUGCCUGUUCUUGUGAUUCCCGACAGCCUGAGUGAGAGCAAAUGUUCUCCUCGGUGACGCUCUGCGUCCCCCAGCGCCGCCGCUCCUGUCUGGGCUGAAGGAUGAGGCGCAUUGGGCUGUACAUCAUCUCAGCACGGCUCCCAUAAGAUCAAACUGCUUCAUUCUUCUUAUGAGAACCUUGUUUGGAUGCAAAUGAUGCUUCAGCUGGAAGGAGGCAAGUGGAGGCUGGAGGGAACUCAGAGGAAGGUCAUCUGGAGGACCAGACGGGUCGGCGUGGCCUUUAAACCAAGCCGCACACACAGGCACACAAGCUAACAGAUGGCUAAAUGGAACCCUGAGGCUCCUGCUGAUCCAUCUCCGGAUUAUUCUUAUCAUCCAAAAAAAGCUGUGACCCUGCAGGAACAGAAAGGAGUGAAAGUUCCUGUUGAAUGUUUGUGGGAGUCGACGGGCAGUAAAGCAUGGAGCGGCGUGAUGCAGACGCCGCAGUGAGACAGCAACAGCGUGUUAACCUGACUUGAUGACCUGCGUGAAAGCCAUUUGCUCUGCCAGAGCUCGGCUCCAACAUCGGAGGGCGAAAGCUUCUUGCAGACACAAACCAACGCUCAGAUUUAUGCCCAGCAUUCAUCACAUUUACGAACGGCUGAAACAGCCCGGACGGCCUUCAGAUGGUUUUAGAUUUCCAAAGGUUUUGGGUCAGCAGAAGUGUGUGAGGCUCUGCGAGGUGAAGCUUCUAACAAAUCCUUUGACUAUGAGGAGACCAAAGAGCACACAUUUCAAUCAAAGCUCCUGUAUAAUCUGUAGUGUUGUUUGAUAGCACCAAUACUAGACUGGUUCCUUCUGCCAGCAGCUGGAAACAUCUGUUUGAGAAGCCCAGAGGUGUGUUCCUCGGGUUUAGCUGGAACAGGAGGAGUCAGGUAAACUCCUCCUUGGGCUCCACGGGAGUGUUUUUAGACAAACACUCUCUGUGGAACUUAUGUUGGCAUUGGUUUGAAAUGAUGUUCAGUCUUUUGAGAAAAACAAGAAACAAAUAAUAAAAAUAAUUCAUUUUUAAAAAGAAGAAUCAA